CAUGUAUGCGAGUCAAUGGGUGAACUAGACCCACAGGCGUAAUGAAAGUGAAGGCUGUGCUCUUGUACUGCUUAGGGCCGAUCCGCUCCUCGUGAGUGGCGCAGGCCCGGGAAUCGCAUGCUACCCUUUCGAGGUCGGCGAUUACCUUGAGCAUACAUGUUAGGACCCGAAAGAUGGUGAACUAUGCCUGGCCAGAACGAAGCCAGAGGAAACUCUGGUGGAGGUUCGUAGCGAUUCUGACGUGCAAAUCGAUCGUCAGAGCUGGGUAUAGGGGCGAAAGACUAAUCGAACCAUCUAGUAGCUGGUUCCCUCCGAAGUUUCCCUCAGGAUAGCUGGUGCUCGAUUGAUCCUAGAGUUUCAUCCGGUAAAGCGAAUGAUUGGAGGUCUUGGGGACGAAACGUCCUCAACCUACUCUCAAACUUUAAAUGGGUGAGAGGUACGGCUUGCUUGACUGAAGCACGUACAUAGAAUCUGAGUGCCAAGUGGGCCAUUUUUGGUAAGCAGAACUGGCGCUGUGGGAUGAACCAAACGCCAAGUUAAGGGGCCUAAAUGAAUGCUCAUCAGAUACCAUGAAAGGUGUUGGUUGCUAUAGACAG
rnacentral:rRNA from 1 species